rnacentral:snRNA from 1 species
AGAUGUGAGGGCAAUCUGGCUGCGACAUGUGUCACCCCAUUGAUUGCCAAGGUUGAUUCAGCUGAUCCGGCUGGCUAGGCGGUGUCCCCUUCCUCCCUCACCACUCCAUGUGCAUCCCUCCCAAGUUGUGCACUCGGUCAAAGAGGACAGCCUUCCCCAAUAGAGACGGACUGGUCUCUGGUUGAGGGUAUACACGUAGCUGCGCUCCCCUGCUAGAACCUCCAAACAAGCUCUCAAGGAAUACAGACUGGAAGGGGAAGAAGUCAAACUUUCACUCUUUGCAGAUGAUAUGAUAGUAUACAUA